rnacentral:rRNA from 1 species
AGUGAACGCUGGCGGUAGGCCUAACACAUGCAAGUCGAACGGCAGCACAGUAAGAGCUUGCUCUUACGGGUGGCGAGUGGCGGACGGGUGAGGAAUACAUCGGAAUCUACUUUUUCGUGGGGGAUAACGUAGGGAAACUUACGCUAAUACCGCAUACGACCUACGGGUGAAAGCAGGUGAUCUUCGGACCUUGCGCGAUUGAAUGAGACGAUGUCGGAUUAGCUAGUUGGCGGGGUAAAGGCCCACCAAGGCGACGAUCCGUAGCUGGUCUGAGAGGAUGAUCAGCCACACUGGAACUGAGACACGGUCCAGACUCCUACGGGAGGCAGCAGUGGGGAAUAUUGGACAAUGGGCGCAAGCCUGAUCCAGCCAUACCGCGUGAGUGAAGAAGGCCUUCGGGUUGUAAAGCCCUUUUGUUGGGAAAGAAAAGCAGCAGGUUAAUACCCCGCUGUUCUGACGGUACCCAAAGAAUAAGCACCGGCUAACUUCGUG